rnacentral:misc_RNA from 1 species
AAGACUAUAGACCUGCGGAGUACCUGCGGAAGGAUCAUUACAGAGUUCUCGCCCUCGCGGGUAGAUCUCCCACCCACUGCGAUCGACACCGUGUUGCUUUGGCGGACCCCGCCGCCGGCCCCGGCCGGCGCGCGCCCGCCAGAGGCUCCGCAAACCCUGAACGUCCGCGUCGUCCGAGCACUACACAAUAGUUAAAACUUUUAACAAUGGAUCUCU